UACGUAGGUGGCGAGCGUUAUCCGGUAUUUAGUUAGGGUUUAAGGGUGCGUAGGCGGCUGAUUAAGUCAGCGGUGAAAGGUAGCAGCUUAACUUGUUUUACAUGCCGUUGAUACUGGUUAGCUUGAGUUGACAGAAGGCAGAUAGAAUUUCUGGUGUAGCGGUGAAAUGCUUAGAUACCAGGAGGAAUACCGAUUGCGAAGGCAGUCUGCUGCAGUCACACUGACGCUGAGGCACGAAAGUNCGGGGGAUCAAA
rnacentral:rRNA from 1 species